rnacentral:lncRNA from 1 species
AUGGAAAAUAACAUAACAUCUGAGGUACUAAUGCAGCACCCACCUGUCUCCAGCCUCUGCAAGCCUCUCUCACUCCUACAGCUGGACCCAGACUGCCUGACAACUCGAUUGUCUUUCAGUCAGCACGCUGCUUGUGAAUGGCAAGUCAUCAUUCUUGAUGAUCAACAAAGCAAUCACAUUUGUAUAGCACUAAAGCAGUCAGUCACUUCAUCCUCCAGGGGAGCGCUGCAGCUCGCAGCCAGGCUGGAAGGAACAGACAUCACCACCGUCCUCUUCAAGGGCGGAGACUGGUUUCCUGAGCUGGGAAUGAGACCAACAGCAAUGAGAUGAAGGAGAUGAUUCAUUUCCCCACCUUGGUUUGCUCUUGAGAGCAGUAGAAAAUAACCCUCCAUUUUUAUCUGCUUAACAGUUACAACGCUGAAAGCCUCUGUACGUUGAACUGUCUUUUGCAUGUAGAAAAUGCAUCCAAAUCCAUGGCUUAUUGCUCAGUAUGAGUUUGGGUUUGACCAUUUUCAAUGCUAUGCUUUAACCUUGCACUAGACUGUACUUUUCCAGCUCAUUUUUUUUAAGUAGAGUGCUCCCCAAGAGACCAGACUGUGGCAGAGAUCUCCUGUCUUGCAUUGUUUACAGCUCAGUGAUUUGCAAAACACGAAAUUCCACGUCCUGCAGGCUCCAGUCCCCAAACUGCCCUCCUCGCCCCAACUCUGCAUACUCGUGUUGCACUCACCCUCAUCCCCUGCUCAAGAAGUUGAGAAAAAUAUCUGUCAGAGAAAAGGCAUUUUGUCCAAGUGGCUCCAGUGGUGUGGUUGAAGCCCUGUGAGCGUGGUUUCUGAUUUUUUUAUGACUAUGAGAAGUAGCAACACAUUUAAAGGAGGAGAACAUACGUUAAAUAAUAACCGUUUGUUGUGUGGCUGACUGCAGCAAGGUCAAGGGCUACUGCCUUAACCAAAAGCUAUAAGUAGAGAUGACAAAGGAAAGACAACAGAAAUGUUUUAUUCAAGUAGGAAAAAAACCCAAAAACCAACAAUAAAGCACCUCUUGAAAAGUUUCUGUGAGGAAUU